AACACAUCUCAUCAUCAGCUUGAAACUCAUAGCUGGACUUCAAAUUUGACCCUGUGCUGCCAAUUUUUUUGUGCACACUGUGUUCAAGAGCCUCAGGAAUUUGCUGAUCCAGUUACUCCUGUUUCAUCUGUGAUGGAACAUAGCAGAAGGAAACCUGCCAGAGCCUUAAAAUCCUGAAGUUCUCAAUGGGAGCAGGACCAACAGCAUUGCAGAAAGGAAAACAUCUUCCAUGUCAUUCACUUUAAGAAGAGGUGACCCCUUAAAAAGCAAGUCAGAAUAUGUCACAAGGUAACAGCUAACCUUUUCUCUUCUUUAAUUAACUAUUUCUGUGUU